ACCACUGGUGGGCUUUCAUUCUCCUAAUAGACAGGAACUUACUUAAGAGCUGAGUGAGUUAUUGUCUUUUUUUUUUUUUUUUCUUGCCAAAGUAAUGUUGGUUUAACUGAAGUGACCGUGACUCUUGAGAGGUCAUUUCCUACCCAUGAAUGUCAAGGUGUUGGUUCAAGAGCCCAGCUUCUUCUCAAUGAUCUUGGUAGAACUCACCCUUCUCUGACAUUCUUUGGUUUAACUUCUGAAUAUCUCAACUCUGUCCAGUCAAUGCAGGAGAUCAGUGUUACAAACACUUGACUAAGAGCAUCUUUCUAGGAAUGGUGUUGAACUUCACUGGGAAUCCUAGAGAGGGAAAUGCAGUUUUUAGGAUACCUGGUUUCAUUUUUGUUGCAAUCUAGGCCUUUGCUGACGCUAAGGGUCCACGGUUGUCCUCUUGGGUUCCCAGUGUUAGGGGGGUGGACUAGGAUAGUUGCAAGCGUAGUUGUAGAAGUCCCAGUAAGGGACCAUAGAUAGAGAGGGAAACCUAGGGAACUUUGGGAGAUGACUGUAAGUUAGUAAUUGCUCAAGAGAGCCAUCAGAACAAGGCAGGCUUGCUUGACUAGUAGAAGCACGAGAUAUGCCUCAGGUCAUUGGGUGGGGGAUGGGGUCAGGUUGGCAUUCAGGUUCAGACUAAGGGCAGGUGUUGAAAGACCACCUUUCUGCUGAUUUGAAUAAGUACCAUGACAGUCCUAGUUUGAUCCUAUAGGGUCAAAUACUCUUACUGGAUACCAAGGAGGAAUUACUACUGGAAGAAAGAGGAGGUGGUCUUUUCCCACCCCCACUCCCCUGGUUUAUAAAACUGUAGCCCACCUAAUCCUCAGGGCAGAGCCCCUUUGCCUGCCCACUUGCAUCUCUCACAAGCAUCUUAUCUUAAUACAUCUAUUUCUUGCCUAUCACUUUGUCUCUCACUGGAUUCCUCUUGCACUGAGGCACAAAGAACCUGGACCUCAGUAAGUCCAGAUGCUGGGUGAGUGAUUCUAAUUUAAAAACCAUGGGUUCAAGUAACAAUCUGGUUGUUUAGGCUGCAUUCGAGUCCUGGCCCGUGGGUUCAAGUCCUAAUUUGGGUUUAGGCUGCGUUCAAGUCAUAACUAUUGUCAGUUUCAGCAGGAUCUCUGAAUUUCUUUAUCAACUGCCUGAUGCUUGGUGGGCCUACUGGAGGAUGAUUAAGGGGACAAAGUGUUCCUUAAGUUACCUUCUUUUCUUUGUAAGAUUAGAAAGAACCCCCCCAUUUUUUUCAACACAAAGAAUAUCAUGGACUUGUUACUUCAUAUAACCCAGAUAUUAUAGAAAAGAGGAAUAAUUUCUGGGUCCAGGGAGGCAUAUAGAGUCUGCCUGGAGGGCUGGUUAGGGAGAAAGGUGCAUCGGGUGUUGGGCCACCUCAACUCAGAAGCUGGUGAAGUGAUGGCACUAGAUCAUCAGAGGUGAGGGGUUAGAAAGUCCCUGGGGAGAGCAGAGGACUAGACAAGGGAACAGGCUAAUGUGAUGUUGGGUGUAUCUCUUCCUCGCCACAGGUUGCUCUGCAGCUUGUCUUUGAAUCUGUUCAGAGUAAAAGCUCUUGAAGGAAUGAGAUAGACAGAGAUAAGAUUUUUUUUUUUGGCUGCCCCAUGGCAUGCGGAAGUUCCUGUGCCAGGGAUUGAACCUGUGCCACAGCAGAGACCUAAGCCACUGCAGUGACCAUGCUGGAUCCUUAACCUACCGUACCACAAGGGAACUCCAGAUCCUUUGUUUUUGCUUGGACUGCUAUAACAGGAUACCACAGACAGGGUGGCUUAUAAACCACAGAAAUUUGUUUCUCUUCUUGUUCUGGAAGCUGGAAGUCCAAGAUCAUGUUGCCAGCACAGCUGAGUUUUGGUGAAGGCCCACUUUAGAGCUGUGGAUUGCCAAUUUCUUGCUGUGGCCUCGUGCAGUGGAAGGGGCAAGGGAUUUCUCCAGUGCCCUCCUUUUAAGGGCACUAAUUUCAGUCAUGAGGGUUCCACCCUCAUGUUCUAAUCACCUCCUAGUACCAUCACAUUAGGCACUGGGAGUCAAAUGUCUGAAUUCCAGUUUUCAGGGGCACAAACACUGAGACCACAGCACUCCUCUGCGUUGUCUUCAUCCCUGCCCUCAGAUGUUCCUUGCUGCCUGUUGAUCGGCUCCCACUCUAUCAUCUCCACUAGGCUCCAAAGACUGGGCUUUGCAACAUGGAGUCCAGUCCUGCUGAUGACUUUUGCAAUUGGUUGUCCCAACUCUGAAAUCUAAAAUUUCCCUAAAGAUCUGAAAUUAGUUCCUUCCUCUCCUCCCUCUUCUUUCUUUUUAUAGCCACACUUGUGACAUAUAUAAGUUCCCAGGCUAGGAGUCAAAUCAGAGCUGCAGCAACACUGAGUCCUUAACCCACUGAGUGAGGCCAGGGAUCGAACCCACAUCCUCAUGGAUACUAGUCAGAUUCUUAACCCGCUGAGCCACAACAGCAACUCCACCUUGUGCUUCUAAGUCUUAACCCCUUGAGAUGUCUCCAGGAGCAACCCUCACCCCAUUAAGGGGCUCCUCAAAGCUAACUGUGGAUAUAGUCAGCCAGCACCCUUGCUAAAAACCCCAAGAGGAACUGAGGAUGAAGACAAAAGUCCUAUUAGGCUGGCAUUUAUCAUCUUAUUUGUUCAAAUUAGAAGAGUGAAGCUUAAAGAGGUAGUGUCACUGCCCAAGUUCUUAAAUCCAGAAAGUGAAGUUGCUACAUCCAGAGCUUCCAUCUGUCUCACUCCAAUCCUAGCUUUCCGUCCUCUGUCCUCAGUGUCUUGAAAGGGACAGUCUGAAAGUUCAAGUCCAUGGAAAUUGGGAUGAGUCUGGGCAUGGUUCACAUGUUAGACAUAGGCUGUCAAUUUUGGGUGAACAGUUUAUGAGGAGAUGGGAUUAUCUUUUAAUGGACCUGGGUCAUAUCUUUCCAGGAGAAAAGUCAAAGGAGUGGGCAAGGCCCAGCCAAGGCAGAACAAGAGGAUGAAGAACAGGAAAUGCAUCAGAAGGAAGAGGAAAAGUACCCAAGGGAAAAACUCUUUCUAGUAAGGGCAGCAAGCAAGUCAAUGGAUUCAUUUCAGGUGCGUGGGCUAAUGGAGGCUAGUUUCAAACAAGUGGCUCAGCGGUUAACAAAUCUAACUAGGAACCAUGAGGUUUUGGGUUCGAUCCCUGACCUCCUCAUUGGGUUAAGGAUCCAGCGUUGCCAUGAGCUGAGGUGUAGGUCACAGAUGCAGCUCAGAUCCUGCGUUGCUAUGGCUGUGGUAUAGGCCAGCAGCCACAGCUCUGAUUUGACCCCUAGCCUGGCAACCUCCAUAUGCCACGGGUAUGGCCCUAAAAAAAGCAAAAAAACAAAACAAAACAAAACAAAAACCAAAAAAACCCCAAGUUUCCUGCACAUGGAACUUUCUUUCCUGGUCUGCUGGCAAAUCAGAGGCUUACUACAUACACCUAGUUGUUUAUGCUGUAUUAAAACUUAUUAUGGACAGUUGAAUUUCUAAUCAAUGCUUAGCUCUUUCAUAACCUGACUAUUCCCAGCAUAAUGGCAAAACUGAAAAAGAUCCCAGGAAACAAAAUCAAUUGUCACCACUUCUUAUGAAUUUGGGAAAGUUUCUUCCCAUCCCUGUUCUCUCUUAGCUUCUCAGCUUUUAGUUUUAAGCUGGGUGAUUAUAUUUUUAUUGUUCAAGCUUAGACAGUUUUGACAGAAUAGGGAGCUAUUUAUAAUUAUUCCAGGACAUUUGAUCUCCCUUUGAUAAAUAGUUCUCAUAAACAUGCCUCUCUGGUGUCUAAGCACUCUCAGCUCAGAAGCAGCAGAGGUAGGGCAGGUGCGUGGAGCACUGGGUCAAGUGAAAGUGGACAGAUUAGCAACGUGAAAAAUGACAGAAACACUAAAACAGCAGAUAGAAGCACAUAGCCGAUGGUUUUAGGCCAUCUAUCCUGAGGUAGUUUGGAAAGUUUACAUAAUUCAACUCAAGGAUUUACAAAUUUGUCACAUUCGUAUUAAAGAUCUGAUCCAAAGGGAAACGGCAAAGUGGAGUCAACAUUUGAUUUAUUGUUCCUAUUGAGUUUUAUGAAAAUAGCAUGUGCUUUUAUUUUAUAGUUUUUAGGAGAUAGCACCAAGAUAUUUAUCUUCCCUAGUAGACGUAAGAACAGGCAGAGUCGGUGUUGGUAGAAUGACCAAAGCAAGACCUUUAAUCUAGAUUCUUAAAUUGUACACUGUCAUGAAAUGGUUUGUCUUAAGGAAAGAAAUCUAAUGAGUUUAUUUGAUGCCAUUACUUUAAAAAUUAUUUCCAUUUCUCUCAUUGCAAUAUUUUUCCAGGAUCUUUAAUUAGUCCUGAUGGACUCAACCCCUGGUUUCUCUUUCCAGGUGAAAAAUGCAUCUCUUUCAGCUACUAUUCCUCCCUCUUUUUCAUUUUUUUCCCCUCUAGAUCAAAGUUACCACGAUGACAGAGUAGCUUGGGUGCAGGAGAGAAUGCUGAGGAUGUUUGGUUCCUGGUGAUUCGUACCUCAAUGCUAUCCCACAGAGCAAGUGACACUGCCUUGCCUUGGCCUCUGCCAUUCCUGCCAGGGAACCAGAAAUAGUCCAUGAGGCACCUCCCUGGGAUAAACAGAACAGCAUUUGUGUGCUAUUGUGGGCCUUAUCCUGUACUUUCUACUAUAACCUGUAGUAGAAAGGUUAUACUUUCCAUAUAUACAUCCCAGAGGGGAGGGGGGUUGAGGGCACAGGCAAAAUCAGGGAAGGAGGUUAAGAGAUACAGUUAUGAACUAGGUCACCGGGUUGAAAUGUAGAGCAUAGAGAAUAUUGCCAAUAAUAUUGAAAUAACUUUGUGUGGUGGCAGAUGGUAACUAAACUUAUUAUGGUGAUCAUUCGUGAUAUAUAAAAAUCAAGAUGUACACCUGAGGGAGUUCCCAUCGUGGCACAGCAGAAACGAAUCCGACUAGGAACCAUGAGGUUGCCGGUUCGAUCCCUGGCCUCACUCAGUGGGUUAAGGAUCCAGCGUUGCUGUGAGCUGUGGUGUCGGUUGCAGACGUGGCUUAGAUCUGGCAUUGCUGUGGCUCUGGUGCAGGCCGGCAGCUACAGCUCCGAUUAGACCCAGAGCCUGGGAACCUCCACAUGCCACGGGUGUGGCCCUAAAAGGACAAAAAGACAAAAAAAAAAAAAA
rnacentral:lncRNA from 1 species